rnacentral:rRNA from 1 species
UACAGAGGUCCCAAGCGUCGUUCGGAUUCACUGGGCGUAAAGGGUGCGUAGGCGGUCGGGUAAGUCUGGCGUGAAAUCUCCAAGCCUAACUUGGAAACUGCGUUGGAUACUAUCCGGCUCGAGGAAUGGAGGGGAGACUGGAAUACUUGGUGUAGCAGUGAAAUGCGUAGAUAUCAAGUGGAACACCAGUGGCGAAGGCGAGUCUCUGGACAUUUCCUGACGCUGAGGCACGAAAGCCAGGGGAGCAAACAGG